AGCAAACUGAACCACAGCUACGCGUCGCCGAUUAUUAAUUUUACCCCUCACUAAAACGAAAUAAACCGAAAAAGAAAAAGAAAUAAAAUAAAACAAAAUCGGUUUUGCAUUUUUUUUAAUCGGCCAUAUUAUUUUAAUAAUUUAUUUAUUAUUACUUUUUUAAUUUUAGGAGCGAGAUCGCUAAAUCUCUCCAAAACACAAAAAAAUUCAAAAUCCCAAAAUCCCUCACUAUGGCCUUUCAUGUAGCUUGCCCAAUUACAUGUCAGCGAAUUUGCUUCUGUUCGCUAGGGUUUCCUCGGAAUCUCCAGUCUCCCAACUCCAAGAAUGGCUUCUUGCAGGAAGUGAUUCGACUUGAAGAGUUUUUGAAAGACCCUUGGGGCGUUAGGGUUUCUCGAGAAGGGACCGUGCAGGUCCCCUUACCUAAAGUCGCGCCGGUUCCGGCUGGGGAUGUUGGUGGCGGCGCUGGUGAUGCCGUGGAUGAGGCGGCCUCUUUGUCGGCUCAGGCAAAGCGCCUCGCGCUUCAGAGAAAGGCUGCUGCCGCGAUGGUGGCGGCUGAGCAUUAUGCUAGAAGGGUUGAGUCGGGUGAUAUUGCGAUUGCAUCAAAAAAUUAUGCCAUAGAAGAGCAGGGUCAGUCCAACACAAAUUUAAUGUGUCGCAUGUGCUUUUUGGGUGAAAAUGAAGGAAGUGAGAGGGCAAGAAGGAUGCUUUCUUGCAGAAAUUGUGACAAGAAGUACCACAGGAGCUGCUUGAAAUCUUGGGCUCAACAUAGAGAUUUAUUUCAUUGGAGUUCCUGGACCUGCCCUUAUUGUCGGACCUGCGAGGUAUGCCGAAGUACUGGAGACCCAACUAGGCUUAUGUUCUGCAAAAGGUGUGAUGGUGCAUACCAUUGCUAUUGCCAACAUCCAUCGCACAAGAAUGUUACUUCUGGGCCAUAUUUAUGCCCAAAGCAUACUAGGUGUCACAGCUGUGGAUCCAAUGUCCCUGGAAAUGGUUUAAGUGUGCGGUGGUUCUUGGGAUACACUUGUUGUGAUGCUUGUGGAAGGUUGUUUGUGAAGGGAAAUUAUUGCCCUGUAUGCUUGAAGGUUUACAGAGACUCUGAAUCGACACCCAUGGUCUGCUGUGAUGUUUGUCAGCGCUGGGUGCACUGCCAAUGUGAUGGCAUCAGUGAUGAAAAAUAUCUGCAGUUUCAAGUAGAUGGAAAUCUCCAAUAUAAAUGUGCAUCAUGUCGUGGGGAGUGCUACCAGGUUACAGAUCUUGAGGAUGCUGUUCGAGAGCUUUGGAAGAGGAGAGAUGGCGCUGAUCGAGACCUGGUUGCUAGCUUGAGGGCUGCUGCAGGGCUGCCAACUCAAGAAGAAAUAUUUUCUAUCUCUCCAUAUUCAGAUGAUGAGGAAACUGGUCCUGUGAUGUUAAAAAAUGAAUUUGGGCGUUCCCUGAAGUUCUCUCUCAAAGGGAUAGCUGACAAGUCACCAAAGAACAGGGAAUAUGUAAAGACAUCUUCAAGUAAAAAAUAUCUCAAGAAAAAGGCAUAUCAGGCUUCUUUAAUUAGCAAAGGAGAAUCACAGCUGAGUUUUGAAGGGAACCAGGAUAUCCAAUCUCAAGGAUACAGCUUGGGUGAGGACAGGAACAAUGAAGUUGCGUCUCAGAUAAAUGAAGAACAAGAUAUUUCUUCUCCUGUUGCAGGAAUUUGUUCUACCAAACAGCCAGGGGUUUUGAAACACAAGCUGGUAGAUGAGGUGAUGGUUAGUGAUGAAGAUAGAGCAUCUCGUGUUCUUAAAAUCAAAAGCAAUAAACCACAUGAUUUAGAUGGUGGAGAUGAUAAUGGAAAACAUGGUAGCAAGUCAAAGACUGUGAAAGCAAAGAAGUUAGUCAUAAAUCUAGGAGCACGAAAAAUAAAUGUUACCAACUCCCCAAUGUCUGAUGCUUCAAGCUUUCAAAGAGAACAAGAUGUGAUUUCUUAUAAUGGUGUUCAAUAUGCAAAUCAACAGAGAAUGGAUGACAAGUUUCUGGAUAGGCGUGACAUUGCUGCUAAAUCUGGUGAUGGAGACAGAGUUGAUCACUCCAUUAAGUCAAGAGGUGUGAAAAUUGCGGUAAGAGAAGGGAAUUCAAUAAAGUUUGGAAAAAUUAGGUCAGAAAUUCCUGAAUUGAGGUCCAAAGUCGGUGCAGCAAACAGUUCUGAUGGGUAUGGAAUUGUUCCUCUAGAACACACACCCAUUGCAUCAGGAAAAGGAAGCAUUGAUGGAAGUAGGCUUGCUGCUGCACCUUCAGGUGAGGUCUCCACACUAAGAGGGGGCAAGGUGAUGUCAGGAAAGCAGUUGGAAAACAGGGCUGAUACAUAUGGUGAAAACAAUGCAGAUUAUGGUCGCACACCUGUCUUGAAGCCAAAAGAUCCCAAACCGUCUCUUAAAUUUAAAUUGAAGAAACCUAAUCUUGAGAAUCAGAGUUCUCAGGUUCAUUCUGAGGAAGAAAAGCGUUCUAUAAAGGGCCAAAGGUCAAAAAGAAAAAGACCGUCACCCUUCAUGGAAAAAUCAUUGUUUAUUGAAGAUGAAGAUCUAGAUGUCACACAAUCGCAUCAAGACAGCUUAAUGGAUGGCAUGAUGGACGCUAGUUGGAUUUUAAAAAAGUUGGGUAAAGAUGCAAUUGGAAAGAAAGUUGAAAUUCAUCAGGCCUAUGACAAUUCAUGGCAUAAGGGAGCUGUUACUGACAUCAUUGAAGGCACAUCCACGUUAUCUGUCAUGCUAGAUGAUGGUAGAGUGAAGACUCUGGAACUUGGGAAGCAAGGCGUUCGUUUUGUUCUUCAAAAACAGAAGAGAUCAAAAAUUUGAAACUGAAAGCCUAAUUUAUUCUUAGUCAUCAAACUUGUAUCGUUUUCUCAAUUAAUCUAAUGACUUAAAGCAACCCAUUCCACGAGCCUUUUAUCAAUGUUUCGAGAUUCAAUGACAGAAAGAAAGAUUGCAACCAUUUCCUGAUUACUUUAUUACUCGGCAUGACGUUAUUUGUUAAUGCAAAAGAAUCACCUCAAACAAGAGGGCAUCGGCAAGUCCUUGGCAGACUUUGGGACAUGUUGAUACUGCAAUAUAUGGUGCAACAAGUAGUAGACUUACACGCAGCGAGGUGAUAGAAGAUUGCU